AGGAUGAUGGACACUGAAGAUAUGAAGUAUUUGAAUGAUGUAGGUUCGGGUUUUGGUUAUGGACAGCCUUCUUCGGGGGAGAAGGGACGAUGAUGGACAUUGAAGAUAUGAAGUAUUUGAUUGAUGUAGGUUCGGGUUCUGGUUCUGGACAGCCUUCUUCGGGGAGAAGGGAGGAUGAUGGACAUUGAAGAUAUGAAGUAUUUGAUUGAUGUUGAUUAUUAUAUGUAUAAACGUGUAUUGUUGUUGUUCUUGCGUAUUGUUUUUGUUCUAUUAGGGUUUAGGUAGUGAUAGUGAACGAGAAAUGAAGCUAGUUUGUGUG
rnacentral:lncRNA from 1 species